rnacentral:rRNA from 1 species
CGGAGGGUGCAAGCGUUAUCCGGAUUCACUGGGUUUAAAGGGUGCGUAGGUGGGUUGGUAAGUCAGUGGUGAAAUCUCCGAGCUUAACUUGGAAACUGCCAUUGAUACUAUCAGUCUUGAAUAUUGUGGAGGUCAGCGGAAUAUGUCAUGUAGCGGUGAAAUGCUUAGAUAUGACAUAGAACACCAAUUGCGAAGGCAGCUGGCUACACAUAUAUUGACACUGAGGCACGAAAGCGUGGGGAUCAAACAGGAUUAGAUACCCUGGUAGUCCACGCCCUAAACUAUGGAUACUCGACAUACGCGAUACACUGUGUGUGUCUGAGCGAAAGCAUUAAGUAUCCCACCUGGGAAGUACGAUCGCAAGAUUG